UUCACGUGUCGGUGGGGGAGGCGGCGCUGGAGGCUUGGUUUUGUGGUUUUUUAAAACAAAAAUUCCGCAGAAGCACUGACUAUUGAAAACCAUUUGUCUCAUAUUAUCGGCGUGGAGGAAGCCUUUCUUGAAGGAGCGAGCCUUGGAAGUGCUCCCGUGCAAGCUGCUACACUGUCUAUGAUUCAUCUUCCUGAGUCCAGGAAUCCUGCAAGAAGGUGUUCAGUAGUUUUAUUCACAGCGUGCAUCAGGAGUGCUUGGAUGUUCUCCACCUUGGAUCAAGUUUUAGUUAACGUCACCUCAGGUGAACACUGAACCUGAAAAUAUCUGGUGUAUGUACUGGGGUACCUUUUGGUCUUUUUUAUGUUGAAGUAAUUCUUUAGCUAAAAUAUACUAUUUCCUGAGGAAAAAAGAAUGCAAAGCAUGCAUAAAAAUGUGAAAUCCACCCCCUUUAUCAUUAGAAGUAAGGAGGGGUUUUUAAAGUGUGUUUCACUAUAUCAGCAAUUCAAUGUAUUUGAAAUGCUGCUUAUGCUGUUUCAAAAUGCUUAAAACAAAGAUUAUCAGCCCAAAGGAGGGCAAUAUUGUUUUACUCAGUUGAGCAGCUUAGUCCCUGAACUUUGAAAACUCCCAGGACACGUGAAGAAUGGAGUAGGUUCAGUUUUAAGUGGCCUGAACCUAUUCCUUUGUCAUGGAACUUUAAAGUAAAAACGAUUCAUUCAUCAGUUGCAAAGCUGUAUAGGUUCAUUGCUUUUAAGUUCACUGAAACUGGCAAAUGAAAAUGGGGUUAAUCUAUCCUGUAUGAAAUAAAACUAAACUAGACACACUGUGCUGCUGUGGUACCAUAAGUCAAGCACAGAAAGUUUCUGAGGGGCUUUUAAAACUUUUUUUUUAAAUAACCUUUUCUGGAGACACACUCCUAAGUCCCACAGGUCUUUGAAUUUAACCUGGUUUAAGGUUAUAUGUAAGUAACCUUAGCCACCUCUCAGUGCUUUUUAGUUAUUCCAGUAGUUUGAAUCCUGUCCCCUGCUCAAAAGCUAGUCCCUUUUACUGUGGAGCUGGGGAGCAUGCUGUUUCUUACAAUAACUGGGCCAUAAAACCUUUAAAAGUCAUUGGUUUUUCCCUUAGACAGAGUUGUAGAACUAAAACUGGGAUAAUUAUGCCAAAACCCUUUUAUUAAAUGUGUUUUUUCUGGUGUUAUUUAGUCUUUUGUUCCUGGAGAGUUGACAUCUGUCUAGGCAGUUCUAAUAUCGGGUGGUCAGGGUUAGAGCUCUCCCAGUAGGUAGCUAUAAAUGGUGUUUGGCCAAAUUGCACUUAAACUCAGUAUGUUUUGGACUGCUGCCAGGUUCAUGGAGGCCAUGUGUUGUAGGGGAAUAUUAGAACUCACGUUUUGAACUGCAGGCUCUGGAAUUGCUGAUGCAGGGGUGGCUUUACUGGGAUGCUCCCUGCCCACGUGCUUCCAGUGUCAGUGCUUCCUGUGUGCAGCGUUCAUCACCUCCUGCUCCAUGGGGUGUCUUGUGCAAGAGUGCACCUCCAACAUUCAAAACACCUUCCACUCUCUUCCUAACAAGCUGCAGCUGCUCUGUCACUGUCAAGUGUCCAGACCUUUAGAUUUCUCCCCAUUUCAGUGUUCUAAGUGCUUUAUUUCACAUACGAGCAGCAGAUUUCUCUUUGGAAGUCUCAGUGGCUUAUCAAGUCAAGGAAGAACACUAUGGAAAAAUGUGUGCACAGUGCCUUUUCAAGUAACUUCUUUAAACCAUCUCUGCUAAUUAAAACAUUGUGCUUUUUCGGGCAAAGUUGAAGGAUUUGUAAAUAAGCUUGAGUUUCCAUAAAUCUGAAAAGGAAAUCAAAUGACAAGGAAGCUGAUAUUUAUCCUGUCCUGUCCAUGACAACAGGGUGCUCUUCUGUUUAAGACCCUGAUCCACAAGUGAAUCUCGCAUGGAUAUUAAGGGCAGUUGUCAUUUGCUCUGUGCACUAAUUUGAUUUUUAUUUAAGUCCUUAAAGUUUUUUGUUUCAAAUUAUCUCAACAGGUGUCUGAAUUUUCCACUGGCAUUUCUUCAUGCAGAACUUUCUGAUAAAGUGCUCCCCUCAUAUUUCUGAUAAGGAGUGGUCAGUAAAGAAAUACAUAUGGAAAAACAUCUUUGCUUUUUCCUGACCCUGGAAAUAACUCUGUACUUGUGGGAGUUCUGUUGUGCCUUUGAAUUGUUCCAAGGAAAUUUGCUAUAGGAAACUGAAAUGGAGGUUGAAAAAAAUUAGUUGAAAGAUUUGUUCAAGGGAAGAGAAUAAAGUCUGUUAUUAAGUUUGGUUUUGCUUUGCAGCAGGGGUGGUGGGGUAAUUGGAAAAACUACUUAAAAUACUUUCUCAGCAAAGAUAAAGCCUAAACAAAUACUAGCAAAAACCCUCAAUGUAAUCUCUUUUCUCAAUAGUCUGCUUUUGAUGUAAAAGUUAUCUUUACAGCAAUUUUGUAUUUUUUGGCCUAAACCAAAACACUUGUCUUUGAAGAAGGUGUUAGCUCUGUUAAUUACAGAAGGAAUAGAAAAUCCUGCUUUAAAGAACCAAAAUAUUUAUCCCUCACUAUAAAACUUUAUUAUCUUACUUAUGGUGAAAAUUACCACAUCCUGAUUGUCAUAUUUCUUGACCUGAGUAGAAAUUAUUUGUCUUCAGUGUGUCAUGUCUGUUGUAAAACAGAUUAGCUACACCACAUGGAACCUGAACAGAGCUGGUUGCUCACAUUUUAUCAGUCUCCUCCGGCUUCUUCAGGCUGCUUGUCAGUGAAAAUAGAUCUGUUGUGUAGAGGAAGCAUUAGCAUGUGUGUAAUUUUUAAAUUGGAGAGAAUGCUUUGCUGUGAUGUAACAAAUGUAAGGAGACUCACCAAGUCUCCAAGUCUCUAUUUAAAAACUAAUCAGUGGCAUAAGUGAUUUUUUUUUCUUAUCGUGUCAUUGGAUAAUUUUUUCUUUUCUUUUUUUGUUUGUGCGUGUGGAAUUAGUGAUUAACCCAGUGAGAAUGAAUAUGAUGACUUCUUCUACCCUCUUUAUUUUAGUUUCAUGUGUUUUAAGAAACAGUUUUAUUCCUUCUUCCCUUUACAGUGAUCUGCAUUCUCAAAGUUUUGGUUAAGGGAGACAAAGUGAAAUCUCUCCUUGAGGUGGCUGAUAGCACUUGCAGAGCAAGAGUGCGAAGACUUGUGAAUUGCCUGAUCAUCUGAGGGCCUCUGGUGCAGACAACAGGACUUGGGCAGAGCACUUUUCCUUGGAAUCCCAGACCCUUCCCUCUGUGGGUGGGGUAGCAUUUUCUUUUUAAGAAGCAUUAUGAAUGCUUCAGAUUUGCGAGACUUUUGAUUACCUUUUGAGAAAAAACAAAUUGAUCGUGAUCAACCCUAUCCAUUUUGUUGAUGAAGUAUUCUGAAUAUGUUAAUCUUUACUUCUGCCUCUGGGACAGGAAAUUUGUAAAAAACUUAAAUGUGUUUUUUUUUCCCACAUGUGUGUGGUUGGGGUGGUAGCAAAAUGGCCUAUACCAGGUGUUUUCAAGUGACUCAUAGCAAGUUUGUUACCUUUUUUCAUGGAUGUACAAGAUGAGUUUCUAGGAUUGUGUACACUUCAGUGUUCAU